AUGUCCCUUUUUGAUGAUGCUUGCUAUGCUUGUGGACAAGAUGCCAAUAUGAAUUAUGCUUAUGGAGAUGAACUUGCUAUAGUUCCUUGUGUUAAACAUGAAAUUGUUGCUAUUGCACCCACGCAUGAUAGUCCUAUUAUCUUUUUGAAUUCUCCCGACUACACUAUAUCGGAGAAGUUUGCACUUAUUAAGGAUUAUAUUGAUGGGUUGCCUUUUACUGUUACACAUGAUGAUUUUGAUAGAUAUAAUAUGCAUAUGCUUGCUUCUCCUACUUGCAAUUAUUAUGAGAGAGGAAUACAGCUCCGCCUCUCCAUCUUUCCAAUAUGA
rnacentral:rRNA from 1 species